AAGUCGUAACAAGGUUUCCGUAGGUGAACCUGCGGAAGGAUCAUUAACACGGAUCCAAACGUUAAAACCCCCCCCAAGCAGUCAGUGUCGGAAAGUGUCAUUGAUUGUGCAAGGAUAGCGCUUCUACGAUUCCUGUAGACCGUACACUCCUGCAGGAGCUUUGCCAAAGGGUCCCCAUGCCCCCUAAUAACCCCACAGUUUAAUGUGAAGCUCAAUGUAAUACAUUGGGUAAAAAAACCGAACAACUGUUAACAAUGGAUAUCUUGGUUCUC
rnacentral:misc_RNA from 1 species